rnacentral:rRNA from 1 species
GAUGAACGCUGACAGAAUGCUUAACACAUGCAAGUCUACUUGAAUUUGGGUUUUUUAACUUCGAUUUGGGUGGCGGACGGGUGAGUAACGCGUAAAGAACUUGCCUCACAGCUAGGGACAACAUUUGGAAACGAAUGCUAAUACCUAAUAUUAUGAUUUUAGGGCAUCCUAAGAUUAUGAAAGCUAUAUGCGCUGUGAGAGAGCUUUGCGUCCCAUUAGCUAGUUGGAGAGGUAACGGCCCACCAAGGCGAUGAUGGGUAGCCGGCCUGAGAGGGUGAUCGGCCACAAGGGGACUGAGACACGGCCCUUACUCCUACGGGAGGCAGCAGUGGGGAAUAUUGGACAAUGGACCAAGAGUCUGAUCCAGCAAUUCUGUGUGCACGAUGAAGUUUUUCGGAAUGUAAAGUGCUUUCAGUUGGGAAGAAAAAAAUGACGGUACCAACAGAAGAAGUGACGGCUAAAUACGUGCCAGCAGCCGCGGUAAUACGUAUGUCACAAGCGUUAUCCGGAUUUAUUGGGCGUAAAGCGCGUCUAGGUGGUUAUGUAAGUCUGAUGUGAAAAUGCAGGGCUCAACUCUGUAUUGCGUUGGAAACUGUGUAACUAGAGUACUGGAGAGGUAAGCGGAACUACAAGUGUAGAGGUGAAAUUCGUAGAUAUUUGUAGGAAUGCCGAUGGGGAAGCCAGCUUACUGGACAGAUACUGACGCUGAAGCGCGAAAGCGUGGGUAGCAAACAGG